CUACGGAGGGUGCGAGCGUUAAUCGGAAUUACUGGGCGUAAAGCGCGCGUAGGCGGUUUGUUAAGUCGGAUGUGAAAUCCCCGGGCUCAACCUGGGACCUGCAUCCGAUACUGGCAGGCUAGAGUCUGGUAGAGGGGGGUAGAAUUCCUGGUGUAGCGGUGAAAUGCGUAGAUAUCCGGAGGAAUACCAGUGGCGAAGGCGGCCCCCUGGACUGAGACUGACGCUGAGGUGCGAAAGCGUGGGGAGCAAACAGGAUUAGAAACCCUAGUAGUCC
rnacentral:rRNA from 1 species